rnacentral:siRNA from 1 species
AGUUUCUAGUGAUUGCCUAUCUUC